GAUGAACGCUAGCGGCAGGCCUAAUACAUGCAAGUCGAACGGUGUCUUCGGACAUAGUGGCGCACGGGUGCGUAACACGUAUGCAACCUACCUUACAUUGGGGGAUAGCCUUUCGAAAGGGAGAUUAAUACCGCAUAAGACAGUAGCUGGGCAUCCAGCAGCUGUUAAAGAUUUAUCGAUGUAAGCUGGGCAUGCGUCCAAUUAGCUAGUUGGUGAGGUAACGGCUCACCAAGGCAAUGAUUGGUAGGGGAACUGAGAGGUCAAUCCCCCACACUGGCCCUGAGAUACGGGCCAGACUCCUACGGGAGGCAGCAGUAGGGAAUAUUGGGCAAUGGACGCAAGGCUGACCCAGCCAUGCCGCGUGCAGGAUGAAGGCGUUAUGCGUUGUAAACUGCUUUUAUACAGGAAGAAACGACUCUUGCGAGAGGCAUUGACGGUACUGUAUGAAUAAGCACCGGCUAACUCCGUGCCAGCCGCCGCAGUAAAAC
rnacentral:rRNA from 1 species